AAGCAUAUCAAUAAGCGGAGGAAAAGAAACCAACUGGGAUUGCCUUAGUAACGGCGAGUGAAGCGGCAAUAGCUCAAAUUUGAAAGCUGGCUCCUUCGGAGUCCGCGUUGUAAUUUGUAGAGGAUGCUUCGGCGAGGGCUCCCGCCUAAGUCCCCUGGAACGGGGCGUCAUAGAGGGUGAGAAUCCCGUAUGCGGUGGGUUGCCUUAGCCAUGUGAAGCUCCUUCGACGAGUCGAGUUGUUUGGGAAUGCAGCUCUAAAUGGGAGGUAAAUUUCUUCUAAAGCUAAAUACCGGCCAGAGACCGAUAGCGCACAAGUAGAGUGAUCGAAAGAUGAAAAGCACUUUGGAAAGAGAGUUAAAAAGUACGUGAAAUUGUUGAAAGGGAAGCGCUUGCAGCCAGACUUGUCCGCAGUUGCUCAGCCGGUCUCCUGACCGGCGUACUCUUCUGCGGCCAGGCCAGCAUCAGUUCGGGCGGUCGGAUAAAGGUUCUGGGAAUGUGGCUCCUCUCGGGGAGUGUUAUAGCCCAGUUCGCAAUGCGACCAGCCUGGACUGAGGAUCUCGCUUCGGCUAGGAUGCUGGCGUAAUGGCUGUAAGCGGCCCGUCUUGAAACACGGACCAAGGAGUCUAACAUCUAUGCGAGUGUUUGGGUGUCAAACCCAUGCGCGUAAUGAAAGUGAACGGAGGUGGGAACCCUCACGGGUGCACCAUCGACCGAUCCUGAUGUCUUCGGAUGGAUUUGAGUAAGAGCAUAGCUGUUGGGACCCGAAAGAUGGUGAACUAUGCCUGAAUAGGGUGAAGCCAGAGGAAACUCUGGUGGAGGCUCGCAGCGGUUCUGACGUGCAAAUCGAUCGUCAAAUUUGGGUAUAGGGGCGAAAGACUAAUCGAACCAUC
rnacentral:rRNA from 1 species